ACAAAUACAAAUUAACCUUUAUAUUGUAAAUAAAUAGUAAUAAAAAAAUAUUCUAAAAAAGAAACAAUAUUGAUUAUAUAAAAAAACUUUAUGUAAAAUCUGCACAUCUAUACAUAUAUCAGCAAGUACCAAAUAUAUUGGCAAUGUGUGCGAAAUAUUAAACGCGAAAUAUUGAAUUUUCUUGCACGGUUCAGCAACAACGGAGAAAUCGAAGAGCGAAUAGAACGGACCUAGAGGGUUACGUUGAUGAGACUUCCUAUACAUUUAUAUAGAGCAGUCCGGAGAAGUUUUAGUAUCUGCUGAGCGCUACGCUGUGGGAGAUAUUACCAUCCAUAAAGUUUUACGAACCGAAAAUAUCAAGCUUACUUGAAUGCUGGUUUAUACGCGUCCCUACAGCCUAUGGCUGCUUCUCUUCAGCAAUUACAGGCGGCUCGCUUGAUAUUGAGGAACAGUGACGACGUAAGCGCGAAAAACGAAUCUUGUUCGUGAUUACGGCGAUUACGAGGAAGGCAACGUAUUUUUCUUUUCCUUUUUGCAGAAACAGUGGCGAACCACUUAACGCCGAAAAUCGACAUGAUCCUUCAGGCAAUACCUUUAAAUUCGUGUGUGUAAUGGGUUUACACACAUAACGAAUUUUAUGAAGCGAUGAUUGGCAGUUAGUGAGCGAACGGCCUCCUAAUUUUCUAAGGAUUCCUAUGCCAGCAAUAAUUCUAGUCCUCGUUAUCGCUACAAGUUAACACGUGAAAAAUUGAACAUCAUGUAUUUAAAACAUAAACGCUCCUGUCUACUUCAAAUUUAUAGCUUCCGCGGCUCCAUGUAUAUUUAUAUCACUUAAAUAAUAAGUAUAUCUGUCUUUCAAAACAUUAAAUUUGCACUUCUGCGCCUGAUAAACAAAAAAAAAACAACAUAAUUAGUUUUUAUUGUACGAAUUGGAUCACAAAAUAUUUCAAUAAAAGACAAAUAUAAUUUUGAAUUAAUAAAACAAUUUGCUGAUAUGUGCUUUUUUCUAUUGAAAAGUAACAAACACCUCUUAGAUAAUAAUUUUUUUAAUUCACAAUUAAUUUUUUAAUAUCAGUGGAUUGCUACACAGAGAAAAAUUUCUCUUAAAAUUUACCCUUAAAAUUCCUUGAGGUCACAUAUUAUCCUACAAUUACCAGAUUUUGAGGUAAAUUUUAAGUAAAAAUUUCUCUCCGUGUAUGUUAAUAGAAGUGUCAUAUGAAAGAUAAAAUCUUUUAGUUGUAGUAAAAAUGAAUAUUGUCCAAGACAACUUAUUAUAAAAUUGCUUAGAAUGGUCCAAACCAAUCGAAAUUAUAUCAACUAUUUCCCAGAUUUCUAUUGUGAUUUCCAGAAAAACCGAAAUAAUUUGAAUCAAAGUUUAUUCUAAAUAAUUAAUUCUAUAUACACAAUAAUUAAAACAAUUCUUUAUAAUCUAAACAACCACUAAUCCGUGAAAAUCGAUAACUAAUGACUGACUAUGUAAGCAUAGUUAUAAAUAAAUAAGCAUGUAAUUAAAUAACUUUGAUGUUUUUAAAAUUAAAAAUUUUUCUAUAACUAGAACACAAUGCGCGCCAUUUAAUUUCAAAAUCAUUUAAUGUAAAUAUAAUUUAAUACGUAUCAGUGUAAAUCAGUGUAAAUAAAAUAAAAAAAAGUUAAACUUAUAAAUAUUCAUGUGCAUAAGUACUUCGGACUAAACGGAAUCCUUUCAAGACUUGAUUUUUAAAUUACUUUUUUUUAUGUUAUUGUUCUUAAACAUUGACUUUACACAUGUUAAUUAUAGCGCAAAAACAAUUUUAGAAAUCUUUUAUUUUACGUAUUCAAGUGUUUUCAAAUAUUCAAGAGUAAAUAGAGUACUUCUGGACCAUAAAAAAAACUUUUUUCUAAAGUUAUUAAUAUUUGGGUUUGUUCUUGCAUUUAUAUAUUUUGGUACAAAACGCAAAAAUAAUCGUUUAAAAUCCCAUUUACAGAAAAAUUAUUUUAAUCUGCAUAAAUAUGGCUAUCUGUUAAACUUAAAAUAAAUUAUUUAUCACAAUGUUGAAUAAAAUAACAAUUAAUUAAAGAUGAACAAGAUUUAGCAAUUUUUUUACUUUUACGAGGUGAGAAAGAAACUUUUUAAGAUAUAAAAACUAUAGUUUCAAUCAUAACUAUAAGUAUUACAAAUAUUUUGUUUUAAUAUAAAAGUCAAUUGGUUUAAUAAUUUCUGAGGCAAAAUUAAAAAAUAAUUUUAAGAAAAAUGUAUUAAUUGUUAAUUUUAAAAAAAUUAUACACAAAAAAAGAAAUUGUCUUAGUUUGCUAUAGUAUACUGACAUUAUCUAGUUUUCUUUACCUUAAAAUAUAUCUUUGCCUUUCUUGAAAAAAGUUUCUGUCAUGUUAUGAUUUUAAUGAAAUGUGAAAUAGUAUAGUAAGAGGCGUUCGAUUGAUGCGCUAAUCAAAUCUUAAACGCCAGUAUAUGCUUUCACAUUUGAUUCUAUAAGAUAAUUCCCAUCAUUAAUAGUUCAAAAUCUUUUGUUGAAAAUGCAUAUAGUAAAAAAUAAACAAUAGUAAAAAUUUCUAUUUUUGUUCCACAUAUAUAUUUUGAUGUAAAUAUUCAGAUAAGCAAAUAUAAACCUUUGUCACCAUUUUGCGUGCGUGACAGUGUUCUACUAAAGCAUCAAACCUUCAUAUAUUUAUUUUAUAUUGUUAUUAUCACUGUGCUAUGUAAUGGUGCUUUUUUGCAAAUAUUUAUAACAUAUACUCUUCCUAGCAUUCUUCGAAACGUGAAAACCUUGAUAAUUUUUUGUUAAAAUGCUUUAAAAACUUAUUUUUAAGAAUAUAAUAAUUGAACAAUAAAAAAAAUUUGUAAAAAAAAUAUUUUUAACCUAUCGAACUGGAAUAUCCCCUUAACCUGAAUCUGUUAUCUAGGUACUUCAUGAUACUGAUAAAUCGUGUAUAAAUACCAUGUGCAAACGAUGCAAGCAACAGAAAAUAUUCAAAUAUGGCCGGCUACAAAGGAGCAUUGCUACUCUUUUUAUUACUAGCAAUAAGUUUGGCAGAUGCCAGAAAUUUUCCAACAUCCGAGACAGAGAAUAUAACUCCUCGCGCUAAGCUUUUUCUUCGUUGGUUACUACAACAGAUAUUUCAAAACAGAUUCUCGCUAAAUGAACUUCUAGGAAUUUCUACGCCUUCAAAUAAAGAGCUGGAAAGUACUUUCAAUAAAUUAACAACAAAUGUGAUUCCAAGAAGUUCUACACCUUUGGAUAAAUUAACAACGAGUAAAGAGCAGGAAAGUACUCUCAGUACACCGACGACAAAGGAGAUUCCGAAAAAUUCUACAAAAAUUUGAACAAUCCAAUUGAUACAUAGAUAAAGAAUACGAGAAAUCUUAUAUACUGAGUAACAAAACCAAUUGGCGAUUCAGCAGCUGCUACCGCAUCAAAAGUGCUUAAGGACAACGACCUUCUUGCUACUUUCACGAGUGACAUAUUGAAGGACUUCAUUGCGCAGAAGAAAGCACAUUACGAUCGUUACCAAGGAAACAGAACACGUGACACAUUUUUAUUGACAAAUAAAGAAAGCUAUACGCAGCUUGUCAAAAUGGAGCACGGCUGGCUGUUGCUAUCGCUAGCAAUAUUCGAUAUCUUUGUACACGUUUUUAGUUUUUAAUGCUUCACGCUGUUUUUAUGUAUGUAUAACGCAGUAAAAAAGAGAUAAUAUUGAUAUGCACGCAUAAAUUUUUGCACAAACAUAUAAAAUAAAGAAUUACUUCACAUUUCUACUCUUAAUUUCUUCGUUAUAUAUAAAUAUAUAAAUAUCUAUAAACACAAUAAGAUUUAUAGAAUGUAUCGAAAACUUUGAAUAUAAUACAAUAGUUCGAUGGUACCCUUUAGAAGUUAUUCUUUGCCUUUCCGAUUAUGAAAGAUCUUUAGUUAUAGAAGAGGUAAAUGGAGGUAAUAAUAUUUACAGGCUCAAUAAAAGUAUACCUUUAGCGACCCAUUCACCUAAACCUUCUGUUGGAGGAACACGCGUCGCGGAACGUUGGCCGUACAAUAAUGCCAAAUACGCGUGAAGAGAAUGCGAUUCUCAGACAUUCGGCUAAAGUCGCAUCCGUACCAGGUUUACUACUUUUUUAGCUUCUUUUUCGCCACGCUCGUUCCUUUCUAUCUUUAAUCUUAGUUAUUCCGUCAUGCAAUUCUGU
rnacentral:lncRNA from 1 species